UUGUGCAAGAAAUUGAAGAGUCCAAUAAGGAAGAACAACUUGAAACUCGAAUUUGAUGCAUUUUUGCCUGAGAUCAAGUUAUGGAUUUUGACUUUUGGCAGAAGAUAAAGUUCCCAAUAAAGAGGAGAAUGUUGAAAUUUGAAUAUGGGUUUUGCUUACUGCCCAAACAUAGAAUGGAUAGCUAAUGUAUUGCACUUGUUGAACAAGAUUCUAUGGUUGGUCCACAAUCCUUGGAUACUGAAGGAAUCCAUGGUCUCAUCUCGUAGUUCCUACUAGUUGGCACCAGAAUGCUGACAACCAACAAUAUGUAAUAAUUCGUAUUUAUUCAUCCACCUAUUGAAUCUUAUGUUGUUAUCAUGGCUUCAGCCAGUGACUUCAACAUUUUACUGUACAUUGAGUCUUCUCUUUUCAUCAGCCUAGCUGUCCUACUUAAGAGGCCAACUUGUUUGCUGUCAUACAAAUGUUUGGAGGAUAUUUCCCUACAGUUAGUAGUUAAAGUAAUGGACGUAUUUCUAUUUAAGUUGACUUAUAUUUGUUAUUAAUUAGUAACAUAUGGUUUAGACAUUAAUUGUAUUACUAACAAAUAUGGCUUUAAAUUUCUAACAACUAAGUCAAUUAAGUUGACUUAUAUUUUACCCGUAACUAGCCAAAGAUGCAAUAGUUGAGAACAUCUUUUCCCUGAUCACAUUUUUGUUUGGAUAAGCAAGAAAAAUAGAGGGAAUAAGAGAUUC